AAAAGAAAUCUUGUAGGAUAAUGCUGCUGGUAAUUUGGAGAUGAUUUGAACACUUGUUAACACAAUGUUUUUAUACUCUUGUACUGCAGAGCAGAUUUAAGCUAUGAGAGUAUUGUAGACAAACCACCAAGAUUACUGCUUCCAUAUUCUUUGACCCCAAUCCACUGUCCACAGUCUACUAAAUAUCUGGAGUAUAGUGACCAGGAUGGUACCCUAUGGGGAUGAGGUGCUGGGCAUAGAGCAGGAAAGAUGCAGGUGGCUCUUAGCCAUUUGAAGAUCUUUAGAAGUUUGACCUCUCCCAGAUUAGCCCAUUUAUUCCCUGUUUGUUCCAUGACCUGCCAUCACGACAGCAAUCCCUACAUGUACAGGAGAAUUGGUGUUUUGGACAGCAGAUAUCCAGAAAAUGAGAUCAAGGCCAGCAGACAAAAUAGAAAACUUGAGGAAGGUGAAGAUCCUUCUGGAUUGUUUCCUGAUUUCUAUCUGUGAGCCUUCCAGCACGGCAUCUGUGCUUAGGUUAUACCUACUCUUUGGCAACUGGUCCCCAGCUGAUUAAAAAAAAAGUUUUCACAUGGUGUUACAUGUGUGACCUGCAAACAGCCAGAUCUCCACAUUUCUCCAACUCAAACCACUGGAAACAUAAGCCCAGAAUUCUUCUUCCCUGGAUGAAACCCAUAAGCAUCUCUUGAGGUAUUACUGAAAAUUAGUGAAUAUUUGUCUGAGGUCCUUUUAAUUGCACUUCAUAAAAAAGGGGCAGGAAAACAGUGUGCAGAGUGCAGUGACUGGUUUGAGCUGCACCCAGGGCUGAGCCGCAGCAGGCAGGUGAAGGGGCUGGAGGCCCCCACAUACUACACAUGCCACACAACACCAGCUGCAGUGUAGGAGCAGCUUCUGGAGAUGCUUUGGGUGGUUGUGCUGGUGUGAGGGAAGUCACAAAAGGGGGUCAGACAGAGAGUAAAACACCACAGAGUACUGAAGUAAUCUUAUUUACAUAUCUGAGCUAAAUCUGGCUAGUUUCUAAAGUAGGCAGUAUGCACAUAACACCUAGAGCAUCAUCUCCUUCCAUUAUAAACCUCUACUGAUAGUUUAUAAACAUAAAUGCGGUCAAGCUAGAAAUAAGCUGUCACACAAAAUGCUGACAUCUCUAAAUACCAAGAGUAUCUGAGAGAUUUUUUUUUCUCAUUAAAAAUAUUGCGUUUGUUUUUCUCAGAGGAAGUAGAAAUCACAAGAAAAAUCAACAUUACAUUACCUAAUCUUUCUCAUUUUCAUUUUUAAUUCCCCCAGCAUGGGGCUGAGAUAGCUCUGUUCCUUUGCACCGAGUGCCAUGACAACCAACAGACCCACCCGGUAUCUGCACUGCUAUUCAGCUUGUUACCUCAGGAAAAAUGUACACACCAAAUGCUCAAACUCUUUUUAAACCUAUUAAAUAUAAAUAACUAAUAUGAUUUGACCUAGAUAGCUGAAUGUAAUGUACCAUAACAUCCCAAUAUGAAAAAAAGACCCAUAGUGUAAAUGCAUUUAUAAAUGUUAUGGAGACUACGUAAAGUUGCUACAAUUAGUUCAUCAGUUCUAUUACAAGAGAAGUUUUCCUUAAACUAAAUGUUUUCAAUGUCAAAAAUGGGAGAAUAGCAUUCAAGAACUUUGGUACUAAGUGUAUGCUAGAAUUACAAAUUUCUAUGUACAGUGUAGUUAAAGCAUUUCACACAUAUGUACUUUUAUAAAUUAUAUACAUCAUAAAUCUGGAUAAUUAAUAUCCCCAGAGAAAAACUAGAUCCCCUUAAAGAUCUAGUUUUUGCACCUUAUUGGAACCUAAAACUCAGAGGUAAAAUACCACAGCUUUUAGCAGUAUUUGUAAAUGAAACAAGCUGUAGUCAUAUGCACACUUAAACACAAAUAAGCAAAAUAAAUAUAUAUUAGUUCCUUGCCACUAGCCAUUACACAAACAUCACUUAUGAAUUGGUGUAUCCUACUCAACCAUCAGUCUUGUGUUUCCCUUUCACCUUGUAGUUUAUCAAUGUACUAGAAAUCCCAUCUGAUACCAAAUGUCCAGCUUGCACUUGACGUGCAAAUACCAGCAAUAUAUCCACUUUUACUUCUUGUCCUUAUAAAUUAUGUUACAAUUUUCACAGAUAGUUUACUUAAAUGUCCUAAUCUUUUCCCGAAGAAGCACCAUCAUUCUGGCAGCUGGCCUUUGCAAGAGAAUGUAGCAUUCUCAUCUGAAAAAUUACAAAGGCUGUUAAGAUCAAGCUCACAUUCUUCAGCUGAUGCAAGGCAUGCAUUUAAUUAGCACAUCUUUACCUCUGCCAGAUUUAAAUGAUUGCAUCUCUUGUUGAUACAGGAAAAAUGCACAGCACUUGCACCCUUAACCUAUAACUAACUGCUUUAAAGAUGAAGGGCUUGGAGUUGUCUGGCUGAUCUCAACUUUAUUCAGUUUAAUUCUCAUGUUCUCUAAACAGUAUUUUGCCAUUAUACUGCAGCUUUCUCUUCAAACAUUUCUUCAGUCUUCUUCCCCUGUAUAACUGAAUUCACAAAGCCUUUAUUUUGUAUUUGAUUUGAUUUUUCUCCCUUAAAUGUCUCUCUAAAUACUUAAUUGCUUUUUCAGUUUCCCAGAUAACAUCCAGAGACAUUACACAUUAAUGGCUUUGCUUCCAGCUACUGACCAGCCAUAUAAAUCUGUUCACACACCACAACUCUCUUCAAGAAAAUUGGGUUCAACUCUGUCCUAAACUUCAAUACAAAAUCUGUUUGAAAUCUGCUGAUUUAAACCAGUGUGCCACAAAAAACCACAGUUGUCAAUGCAAACCACCCACCUUCGUGACCCUAAUGUUUUGACACAUUUGAAUCUGUCAGGAAGUGCAAAACAAAUGAAUUUCAUUUGUAGCUGGGAGACAAAUGAAAUUAUUUUGGGUGGAGCCUGCCCCAUAAACUAAUUUCAUUAGAUUCAGCAUUGCCUUUCAUCUGGUACCACAUCCAUUCAUCUUUUGCUCAGAAACAGGAAGAGGAGGCUGCUGCUUCUGCCAUCCUUGAUUCAGACCACAUGAGCCCCAGCUCAAAGAGGCAUAAGUUGGCUUGAGGCUGGAAUUUGGUCCACAGGAGCUGACAAAAUCACUUCUCUGCUUGAGAUCAAACUACUCUCAUAGAAAUGCAGCAGAAAGAAGGACUGUAGGAAAACAUAACUAAAUUGCUUGUACAUGUUGUCCUAUGCAAUGUUCUGCAAUCAUGUUCUUAUUCCUCUCCUUCAUGACAGUCUAAGAGGGGAAAAAAGAGGAUUUGGAAGAGCUAUCUUGAAACUGAGGUCAAGAUCAUAAGUGAGGUUAAUACAAGACUCCAACUGUUAAGAAGUGAAGACUCCUGGAAAAUGGAGAAGAAUUUUCUCAUACUCUUUCAAAAUAAAAUUCACCUGUGUGGCCUUUAGAGA